AACGAACGCUGGCGGCAGGCUUAACACAUGCAAGUCGAGCGGGCCUCUUCGGAUGUCAGCGGCAGACGUGUGAGUAACACGUGAGAACGUCCCCUUCGUUGCGGAACAACUCUGGGAAACUGGAGCUAAUACCGGAUACGCCCUUAUGGAGAAAGGUUUACUGCCUAAGGAUCGGCCCGCGUCUGAUUAGCUAGUUGGUGGGGUAACGGCCUACCAAGGCGACGAUCAGUAGCUGGUCUGAGAGGAUGAUCAGCCACACUGGGACUGAGACACGGCCCAGACUCCUACGGGAGGCAGCAGUGGGGAAUAUUGGACAAUGGGCGAAAGCCUGAUCCAGCCAUGCCGCGUGAGUGAUGAAGGCCUUAGGGUUGUAAAGCUCUUUUGUCCGGGACGAUAAUGACGGUACCGGAAGAAUAAGCCCCGGCUAACUUCGUG
rnacentral:rRNA from 1 species